rnacentral:rRNA from 1 species
AAUAUUGGGCAAUGGGCGCAAGCCUGACCCAGCCACGCCGCGUGAGUGAUGAAGGCCUUCGGGUCGUAAAGCUCUGUGGGGAGGGACGAAAACACGCUGGCCAAUAUCCAGCGGACUGACGGUACCUCCUUAGCAAGCACCGGCUAACUCCGUGCCAGCAGCCGCGGUAAUACGGAGGGUGCAAACGUUGCUCGAAAUCAUUGGGCGUAAAGCGCACGUAGGCGGUCCAGCAAGUCGGGUGUGAAAGCCCUCGGCUUAACCGGGGAAGUGCAUUCGAAACUACUGGGCUUGAGUACUGAAGAGGAUCGCGGAAUUCCCGGUGUAGAGGUGAAAUUCGUAGAUAUCGGGAGGAACACCAGUGGCGAAGGCGGCGAUCUGGGCAGAUACUGACGCUGAUGUGCGAAAGCGUGGGGAGCAAAC